rnacentral:lncRNA from 1 species
CAUGCCCUGUUUACUGACCCGGAAUCAUAAUUCAAUUAACCCAAUUUCAUUCAAUCAAGCUCUUCAUUUCAACUAAAAUCAAAACCAAACCCUUGCUUCCUCACGUGAAUCGCCUCUCUCGACUCUCGCUUCCCUUCUCGCCGACUUCCAGUUCCAAUCCACUGUCCGCCGGCAUCUCCUAGAUUAGAGGCUCAAAUCUCCGGCCCCUGACUCUAGUAUCCUCAAUCCCCCACCGCAACUUUAACCUCCAAGUGUAUGCUGCAGAGAUAAGGGAUUCGACCAGGAACGGAACAAGGGUUUGGCUUGGGACUUUUAACAGUGCAAAAGAACCUGGUCUUGUUUAUGAUCGAGCUGCAUUUGCAAUGCGCGGGGCUUCAGCUCCCCUUAAUUUUCCUUCGGAGAAAGUAAAGAAAUCCCUUAAAAACAUGAAUUACAAGUGCGAAGAUGGUUCGUCACCAGCUGAAGCCAUAAAAGAGAUUCACAGGGCUCGGAGUUCUUUCUCAUCUCCUUUCUGGUUUCUUACUUGAACCCUGAAUCUCAACCCCUUUCCCCUUUUAUCUUCCCUUUUGCUUAAAUCAUUCAUCAAUUUUAAAUCAAUUCCAAUUAAAACUUACUCUCUGUUAAUGACUUGGAACUCCAAGUUAAUUAGUGCUUUGAAUUUGAAAUAUGAAGACUUGUGUUUCAAAUUUCAAUUUUAGUAGAUUUCUGUUUCUUGAUUUUUUAUUUUGAAAAGUUCCAUGUUCCUGAAAACUGAGGACCAGAUAAACUUCAAUUUAUCCAAAUUGAAUAAAAAAUUUUAAUUAGUUUUUGUUGGCUAACAAUUUUACAAAAUGAAAAAAUGUGAAAUAAUCUCACAUUCUCAUCAUCCGCAUAAUAAUUUUGUCAUACUUUUUAUAUACUUUGGAGAGUUGAAACUGUGGAAUUACACCUUUCUGUGGAUGAAUUUAUCACAGUUCCAUGCCUAAAACACAAAAAUGAAUUUUCAUUCAUUCUUUAUGAGAGGAAUUGAAGAUUAUUAUGAUCUUGGAUAUGAUUAUUCUAGAAAUUUUGUAGCCGAUAGAAUUCUUUAUUUAGUGCCAAUAAAGAACUAGCUAAUUAAUUCGAUUUUUCCUCUGAUUCCUAGCUAGUUUAUGCAUAUAGGUCUCUUUUGAUCGGUAAAAUAACAUCCUUUUGUUGCUAUAUUAUUAUGAUUAGGCUUCAGCCUUGUUGUUUUGAUCUUGAAGAAAUGCUUUUGAUUUGAAUAUUAGAAGGUGUUUCUGAUGUUCACAUGAUUUGUGAUGAUUGUGAUAAAUGAUUGGAAUAGUUCAUUAUAGUAUAUGUAUAAUAGGAACUUAAUUCAAUGAUGGCUGAAGUGAGUUUUAGUGCAUAUAUACAACAAUUACAAAUGUCACCACCACUUGAACUGCAGAAUUAGCUUAUAUUGAGCUUUCUUGAUGACCUUUUUUCAUAGAACAAUGCUAUAUCAUUUUUAGUUUGCGGUAGUAUUGUUUUAUAUUUUUAUCAUUAUUAAAUUCAUUGUCAAAAACUCAAAGUUCGGAAUUAUUAUGCCCGCACUGAAAAAUAUUUCUGGCUCCGCCC